rnacentral:ncRNA from 1 species
GCGGAGAUUUAACGGAAUAACAACUCGUUAUAAUACAGGGUGGCGAUCGACCCCCAAUAGUGGUGCAAGUCAGCGCUUUCCCUCGGGCGCUUCCGCAUGACGGAAAUGAUUGAAUCAGUGAGUGCCUGUUACAUGAAAGGUGAACUGCUUGUCAGUUCUUGUACAGCACGAUACCAGGGUGUAUACUACUGCGAACACCGACAGAAAACAGCCCUGCUGUUCACGGAAAUAUUGUUCACGGACUGAGCGGUGCGUGCAUACUUGCGCACUGCUUGUCCGUUGACGAAACAGUAGCCAAAUGCCUCGUCAUCUAAUUAGUGACGCGCAUGAAUGGAUUAACGAGAUUCCCACUGUCCCUAUCUA